CAAAGUGCUGUUCGUGCAGGUAGUGUGAUUACCUGACCUACUGCUGAGCUAGCACUUCCCG
ensembl:miRNA dno-mir-93 dno-mir-93